rnacentral:piRNA from 1 species
UAAACAGUCCAACCUUGCCUGUCCCAGCU